CCCUCUGGGUCCAACUCCCACCCGUGUUUAUUUACCUUGUUGCUUCGGCGGGCCCGCCUUAACUGGCCGCCGGGGGGCUUACGCCCCCGGGCCCGCGCCCGCCGAAGACACCCUCGAACUCUGUCUGAAGAUUGUAGUCUGAGUGAAAAUAUAAAUUAUUUAAAACUUUCAACAACGGAUCUCUUGGUUCCGGCAUCGAUGAAGAACGCAGCGAAAUGCGAUACGUAAUGUGAAUUGCAAAUUCAGUGAAUCAUCGAGUCUUUGAACGCACAUUGCGCCCCCUGGUAUUCCGGGGGGCAUGCCUGUCCGAGCGUCAUUUCUGCCCUCAAGCACGGCUUGUGUGUUGGGCCCCGUCCUCCGAUCCCGGGGGACGGGCCCGAAAGGCAGCGGCGGCACCGCGUCCGGUCCUCGAGCGUAUGGGGCUUUGUCACCCGCUCUGUAGGCCCGGCCGGCGCUUGCCGAUCAACCCAAAUUUUUAUCCAGGUGACCUCGGAUCAGGUAGGGAUACCCGUGAACUUAAGCAUAUAUAAGCGGAGGA
rnacentral:rRNA from 1 species